ensembl:lincRNA
GAAUAAUCCAAAUGUUCAAAUAACUCCAAAUUUUUUAAUGUUGUCAGUAAGUUCAAAUUAGAAGACUCACACAGCAUGGCUCACACAGCAUAGGGCAAACAUCAUAUCUGCAGGCUGAAUAUUGUCUUGGUGUCACCAAUUUGUAAAUCUCUGGUUAGAAUAUUUGUGCUGAAAGACACUUUAAGUAAUACCUAGCUCAUGCUUACCAUUUCACAGAUUAGGAAGUAGGGCCCUAUGAGGGAAAAGAACUUAGAACAAUUGCAGACCUUCAGUUACUUCAGUUGCAGACCUUCAGUUACUUCAGUUGCAGACCUAGGACACCAAGGGGCCAAAUCCAAUUCUUAUACCAGAUUCCCUUUUACCACCAGGCUACCUGUCAUGGCAAUGGUUUGGCAAGAUAUCUGUCUAUAUUAAAUGAAUGCUCUUUGGGGAAGUGUAUUUGAUUGCUAAAGUGGGAUGGUUGGGAGAAUUAUACCAACAUAGAAAGGAAAAUUUGUUGCUCUUAAAUGACAGACCUUGAGAGCUUCCCUAAACCCCAGUGUUAAAUGACACCUCAUUGGCUAUGGUAAUGGUGUCCACAAGCAACAUUCCCUACCAGGAGGCUGAUGCAGAUCCAGUGGCGAAACAUCUUGGAAGGUUAGACAAGAUAUCAAGGCAUGAAACUCCCAAGUACUGCAUCAUUGACAACUGAAAUUGCCUAAGUGUGAGAUCAUACUUCUGCCUGAAAACUUGCAAGAAUAUCUUUGGCAUGAGUGUCAGUGGGAUGACCAGAUAAAAUGGAGCCAAUGAGAUCAGAAAAUGAUCAAAAUUUGGCAAAAUGGGAAGCAAGAAGCAAUUUGCAAACAGGGAAAUCAAACAGUGCCACAUCAAAAUAAGAGGGAAGGAAAUCCAGCAGCUAAGCAGGCCACACAGUUCCCAGACAGAGGUAAACUUCUUUUCUGGCUGAAGCCCUGGUUACGGGAAACAGUGUCUUCUGAAACGACCAGGUGUGGGGAAAGCGUCAGCAUGACUAGACAUACCUGGCUCACCUGUUGAACAAGCCCCAGUGAACCAGAUUCAGGAAUAUCAGCAGGGAGAGGGGCUUCUGGGGAAAAUCCCAACAUGCAGGGCAUAAGCUGCUUUCUGUCUCCUACAGUUUUGUGCAAAGUAUGAUGCGUGAAUAACAGACAGUAGGAAGGACAAUGAAAACAGCACGAGAGAUGAAGCGACUGAAUGUCAUCAGAAUUGUGCCCAUUUCUCCAAACUUUUGGGCUGAUGUGGUACUGUUUCUUAAUGCAUCAUUUAUUUGUCUAAUAUAUCAUUCAAAUAUUUAUCGAGGGCCAACUAUAUUCAAGGCUGCGGGGAUAUGACAAGCAAGGAUGUUGUUUUCAUGAAACUUACAUUCUAGGAUAGACAGAUAGACAAUGAUGAGAUAGACGAUGGCAGAUAGACAAUGAUGAGAUAAACAUAUAUAUGAGUUGUUAAGUAGUGGUAAGACCUAUGAAGACAAAAGAAACUAGUUAAGAGGCAUAAAGUGCUACAGGGAUACAAGUUUUCAUAAGAAAGUCAGAUAAGUCCCCUCUGAACAAGCAACGUUUGGAUAGAGGCCUAAAAGAAGGGAGUGAGUGAGCCAAACAGCUAGGAGAAGACAUCCCAGAGAGAGGGAACUAUCAGUGUGAAAUCCCUAAGACUGGUAUGUGCUUAUGUCCCAGGAACAUUAAGGAGGCUGGAGUGGCUGGCUGCAAAGAGGCAGGAGAGGAGCAGUAGAAGACAAAGACAGAGAGGCUACAGUGGCAAGCAAAGCAUGUCAGACAGGGCUUAAACACUCAGGACAUUAUCAUUAUAAGAAUCUCCACCUUAUUCUCUGAAUAAGAUGAAAAGCCAUUGGGGACUUUUAAGAAAAGAAAUCACUGGCUUCUGUGCAGAAAAGAAACAAGAGUGAAAACAGGAGGAAAAAAAGUCACUAGGAGGCUAGUGCAAUAAUCCAAGUGAGAAAUGGACCAGAAUGGUAGCAGUGGAGAUGGUGAGGAGUGUUGGACAUUGGGUACACAACAAAGGCAGUAGUGAAGAAUGAUGCCAAGAUGUGUCGGCUUAUAUGACUGCAAGAAUGGGGUUAUUUACUGAGAUGGGGACAGGCAGGUUAGAAGGUAUUUCGUUUGUAUUAUGUUUUAGGUGUCCACUAGAUAUGAACUAGGUGUUACAUAUCAUCACCCUGACAUGCUGUGACUCCUUACUCUGUGCAAAGUUUCUGUGCAAAAGCUUUCUGACUUCAUAGGAUGUCUGAAUUUGAUUAAUAUUCAUCUUUCACACUGGAGUGCAGUUUCAUGAGAGCAGUGGCUAUUUCGAUCUCUCUCUGUGUAUUCCUAGCACCAAGCACAGUGCCUGACGAAGUACACACUCAGUGACUAGUGAAUGGAUGACUGAAUGAAAGAGUGAAGAAGUGAGACUUCCCAACAACUCCAUACAGAACUGGACCAACUGCUUCCACAGCUCAUCUUGGUCAAGUCUGAUUCCCAUAGGUGGCAUGACCGAUGGAGAUGCCCCUGGCAUCAGUGCCUCCUCUUUCCCUUUGGUCCAGGUCACACUUUCAAUUCAAGGUUCCUAAAUGCUGAUAUUAUUUUACUGUUAUAAAAUUUAGGAGAAUAUGAAAAAAAUACAUUUUCUUCAUAAUAUUAUAGAUUAAUUUCCUCAAUUUUAUGCCACUAUGGUGGCCUGAUCUUAAAUUUUCCAUACAGGUCUACUUGAAAAUUUACUCUAGGGUUCCUUUGUGAUCUCAUUCAACCUGCCAGACCAUCCUAGCUCCACAGUUUGCACCCCCAACAUCAUACUCUGAAACCCUCUCAUCCUUGUGCUAGCUUUAUUUGUAGUCAGAGUAGUUUGUGGUCUAUAUUUUAGCGCAAGGGAAACUCUACUAUCCAUUUUCUAAGGCACAAGUUGAUCUUAUGCUUAAGAGUCCAGCACAAAGAAGCAUUUCUCUGCAUUGACUUUCCCUUUUCAUGAGCUCUUCAAUAAAAUGGGUUAACAAAUGAAGCCUUUACUUUCAAUUAAUAUUUAUUCAAAACAGAAUGAUCUCUAUGUGACUAGCUGCACCUGGGAAGGAAGGUUAACAUAAGGGCGUUUAGAAUAAAAGUCAGGAGUGGAGUCCUGAAGGGGCAAUGUGAGAGCAACAAGGUUGACCUCACCAUUUCCCCAGUUGGUAACCCUACAUUAGAUAUAGGUAUUAGGCAGUAUACAGUGUGAUUCCUGGUGUUUUUUUUAAAAAAAGUUCAUCUUGCUAUUUAGAGGCAAAGACAUGGGAGUCAAGUCAUCAUCCAUGGUUGACACACUGGCCAGCCUUUAUUUAAAGAAUAAAAUGGGUUACAUGGUCAACUAAGUUAGGAACCUUCUGCUUAUCAUCUUUCUCUUGCAUAUUUACAAUGGACAUGAGCAGCUUAGAUGCAGGGAGAAGCUUUAGAUUUUAGAACGCUGCUUAACCUUGCUUAAUAUAACAUUUUUACAAACUUGUUUUUUAUUUGUCGCUAAAUGUCUUUAGAAACAUGGCAUUCUGUAGAAGAUAAUUUAUAAGAGGCUGAACUAACUUGCUCUACUCAGAAGUUAAUAGCAUGAAAGGAAGGAAGCUGCCUCAUAUACCGAAGAGUGUAGUCUUUGACCAGGUUCAAAGACAUGGGUUCAAUUCCCCACUAACCUACUUAAUGGCUUUGUGGCCUCAGGUGAGUUACUAAACCUUUUUGUGCAUCUAUAAAUUGAAAUUCUAUAUUGGUUUUUAAAUCUAAGUAUUUUACA